GCUUCUUCUAGAGGUGCUGCAGAUGUGGCUGCUGUGCCAUGUGUGCGUUAGUAGGUGGCAGAGAGGAGAUAUGAUAUGUCUACACUCGGCAUUCUGACCUGUGAAACUGAAUUAUUAGUAAGCUAA